rnacentral:rRNA from 1 species
UGCCUCNGUAACGGCGAGUGAAGCGGCAAGAGCUCAAAUUUGAAAUCUGGCCCCUCCGGGGUCCGAGUUGUAAUUUGCAGAGGAUGCUUCGGGUGCGGCCCCUGUCUAAGUGCCCUGGAACGGGCCGUCAGAGAGGGUGAGAAUCCCGUCUUGGGCAGGGUGCCCGUGCCCGUGUGAAGCUCCUUCGACGAGUCGAGUUGUUUGGGAAUGCAGCUCUAAAUGGGUGGUAAAUUUCAUCUAAAGCUAAAUACCGGCCGGAGACCGAUAGCGCACAAGUAGAGUGAUCGAAAGAUGAAAAGCACUUUGAAAAGAGAGUUAAACAGCACGUGAAAUUGUUGAAAGGGAAGCGCUUGCGACCAGACUCGGCCCUGGGGUUCAGCCAGCACUCGUGCUGGUGUACUUCCCCAGGGGCGGGCCAGCGUCGGUUUGGGCGGCCGGUCAAAGGCCCCAGGAAUGUAUCGCCCUCCGGGGCGUCUUAUAGCCUGGGGUGCAAUGCGGCCAGCCCGGACCGAGGAACGCGCUUCGGCACGGACGCUGGCGUAAUGGUCGCAAACGACCCGUCUUGAAACACGGACCAAGGAGUCUAACAUCUACGCGAGUGUUCGGGUGUCAAACCCGUACGCGCAGUGAAAGCGAACGGAGGUGGGAGCCCCCCCGGGGCGCACCAUCGACCGAUCCUGAUGUCUUCGGAUGGAUUUGAGUAAGAGCGUAGCUGUGGGGACCCGAAAGAUGGUGAACUAUGCCUGAAUAGGGCGAAGCCAGAGGAAACUCUGGUGGAGGCUCGCAGCGGUUCUGACGUGCAAAUCGAUCGUCAAAUUUGGGUAUAGGGGCGAAAGACUAAUCGAACCAUCUGGUAGCUGGUUCCUGCC